AGUCUCUUCCUGGUUGCCUGUGGAUCAAGAUGUAGAAGUCUUGGCUCCUAAAGUGCCAUGUCUGCCUGGAUGCUGCCAUGCUUCCUACCAUCAUGAUAAUAAACUGAACCUCUGAAACUGCCAUUCACCAUCAAUGGACUAUCAGUGAUCUGAGACCUGCUACUUCUAGAAGCACUGAUGGGCCCAGACCAGCUCUCUGCUCCAUCUUACCCAGGAUGCACCUUGGUCUCCUGUCCAACACCCUAUCUGAUCUCCAGCACCUAAGAUCACCCAAAGUCCUUGAGGUCGAGCACCCAUCAGUGAGCCGUCCUGUCUGAGCUCAAUCUCUGACUUAACCAGAUACUACCUGGAAAAUAUUUAUUGUUUCCUUAUCUGUAGAUGGAAACAAUGGUGCUUGAUUUGAUGUAUUAAAUAAGAUACUAUCUCUGCUAUCUGUUUUCCAGCCAGUUCUUCAUAAACAAUUACUACAACGUU
rnacentral:lncRNA from 1 species